rnacentral:rRNA from 1 species
GAUUAACGCUGGCGGCAUGCCUAAUACAUGCAAGUCGAUCGGGUGCAGCAAUGCAUCAGAGGCGAACGGGUGAGUAACACGUAUCCAAUUUACCCCAUAGCGGGGGAUAACUAGUCGAAAGAUUAGCUAAUACCGCAUAACGAUUAAAAUAUCGCAUGAGAAUUAAUUUAAAGAUCCGUUUGGAUUACUAUGGGAUAAGGGUGCGGCAUAUCAGCUAGUUGGUGAGGUAACGGCCCACCAAGGCAAUGACGUGUAGUUAUGCUGAGAGGUAGAAUAACCACAAUGGAACUGAGACACGGUCCAUACUCCUACGGGAGGCAGCAGUAGGGAAUUUUUCACAAUGGACGAAAGUCUGAUGAAGCAAUGCCGCGUGAACGAUGAAGGUCUUUGUAGAUUGUAAAGUUCUUUUAUUUAGGAAGAAAAGCUAGUAAAGGAAAUGUUAUUAGUUUGACCGUACUAUUUGAAUAAGUAACGACUAACUAUGUGCCAGCAGUCGCGGUAAUACAUAGGUUGCAAGCGUUAUC